rnacentral:rRNA from 1 species
CGGGACACGUGGUAUCCUGUCUGAAUAUGGGGGGCCCAUCCUCCAAGGCUAAAUACUCCUGACUGACCGAUAGUGAACCAGUACCGUGAGGGAAAGGCGAAAAGAACCCCGGCGAGGGGAGUGAAAAAGAACCUGAAACCGUGUACGUACAAGCAGUGGGAGCACGCUUAGGCGUGUGACUGCGUACCUUUUGUAUAAUGGGUCAGCGACUUAUAUUCUGUAGCAAGGUUAACCGAAUAGGGGAGCCGAAGGGAAACCGAGUCUUAACUGGGCGUUAAGUUGCAGGGUAUAGACCCGAAACCCGGUGAUCUAGCCAUGGGCAGGUUGAAGGUUGGGUAACACUAACUGGAGGACCGAACCGACUAAUGUUGAAAAAUUAGCGGAUGACUUGUGGCUGGGGGUGAAAGGCCAAUCAAACCGGGAGAUAGCUGGUUCUCCCCGAAAGCUAUUUAGGUAGCGCCUCGUGAAUUCAUCUCCGGGGGUAGAGCACUGUUUCGGCAAGGGGGUCAUCCCGACUUACCAACCCGAUGCAAACUGCGAAUACCGGAGAAUGUUAUCACGGGAGACACACGGCGGGUGCUAACGUCCGUCGUGAAGAGGGAAACAACCCAGACCGCCAGCUAAGGUCCCAAAGUCAUGGUUAAGUGGGAAACGAUGUGGGAAGGCCCAGACAGCCAGGAUGUUGGCUUAGAAGCAGCCAUCAUUUAAAGAAAGCGUAAUAGCUCACUGGUCGAGUCGGCCUGCGCGGAAGAUGUAACGGGGCUAAACCAUGCACCGAAGCUGCGGCAGCGACGCUUAUGCGUUGUUGGGUAGGGGAGCGUUCUGUAAGCCUGCGAAGGUGUGCUGUGAGGCAUGCUGGAGGUAUCAGAAGUGCGAAUGCUGACAUAAGUAACGAUAAAGCGGGUGAAAAGCCCGCUCGCCGGAAGACCAAGGGUUCCUGUCCAACGUUAAUCGGGGCAGGGUGAGUCGACCCCUAAGGCGAGGCCGAAAGGCGUAGUCGAUGGGAAACAGGUUAAUAUUCCUGUACUUGGUGUUACUGCGAAGGGGGGACGGAGAAGGCUAUGUUGGCCGGGCGACGGUUGUCCCGGUUUAAGCGUGUAGGCUGGUUUUCCAGGCAAAUCCGGAAAAUCAAGGCUGAGGCGUGAUGACGAGGCACUACGGUGCUGAAGCAACAAAUGCCCUGCUUCCAGGAAAAGCCUCUAAGCAUCAGGUAACAUCAAAUCGUACCCCAAACCGACACAGGUGGUCAGGUAGAGAAUACCAAGGCGCUUGAGAGAACUCGGGUGAAGGAACUAGGCAAAAUGGUGCCGUAACUUCGGGAGAAGGCACGCUGAUAUGUAGGUGAAGUCCCUUGCGGAUGGAGCUGAAAUCAGUCGAAGAUACCAGCUGGCUGCAACUGUUUAUUAAAAACACAGCACUGUGCAAACACGAAAGUGGACGUAUACGGUGUGACGCCUGCCCGGUGCCGGAAGGUUAAUUGAUGGGGUCAGCGCAAGCGAAGCUCUUGAUCGAAGCCCCGGUAAACGGCGGCCGUAACUAUAACGGUCCUAAGGUAGCGAAAUUCCUUGUCGGGUAAGUUCCGACCUGCACGAAUGGCGUAAUGAUGGCCAGGCUGUCUCCACCCGAGACUCAGUGAAAUUGAACUCGCUGUGAAGAUGCAGUGUACCCGCGGCAAGACGGAAAGACCCCGUGAACCUUUACUAUAGCUUGACACUGAACAUUGAGCCUUGAUGUGUAGGAUAGGUGGGAGGCUUUGAAGUGUGGACGCCAGUCUGCAUGGAGCCGGCCUUGAAAUACCACCCUUUAAUGUUUGAUGUUCUAACGUGGACCCGUGAUCCGGGUUGCGGACAGUGUCUGGUGGGUAGUUUGACUGGGGCGGUCUCCUCCUAAAGAGUAACGGAGGAGCACGAAGGUUGGCUAAUCCUGGUCGGACAUCAGGAGGUUAGUGCAAUGGCAUAAGCCAGCUUGACUGCGAGCGUGACGGCGCGAGCAGGUGCGAAAGCAGGUCAUAGUGAUCCGGUGGUUCUGAAUGGAAGGGCCAUCGCUCAACGGAUAAAAGGUACUCCGGGGAUAACAGGCUGAUACCGCCCAAGAGUUCAUAUCGACGGCGGUGUUUGGCACCUCGAUGUCGGCUCAUCACAUCCUGGGGCUGAAGUAGGUCCCAAGGGUAUGGCUGUUCGCCAUUUAAAGUGGUACGCGAGCUGGGUUUAGAACGUCGUGAGACAGUUCGGUCCCUAUCUGCCGUGGGCGCUGGAGAACUGAGGGGGGCUGCUCCUAGUACGAGAGGACCGGAGUGGACGCAUCACUGGUGUUCGGGUUGUCAUGCCAAUGGCACUGCCCGGUAGCUAAAUGCGGAAGAGAUAAGUGCUGAAAGCAUCUAAGCACGAAACUUGCCCCGAGAUGAGUUCUCCCUGACCCUUUAAGGGUCCUGAAGGAACGUUGAAGACGACGACGUUGAUAGGCCGGGUGUGUAAGCGCAGCGAUGCGUUGAGCUAACCGGUACUAAUGAACCGUGAGGCUUAACCUUACAACGCCGAAG